UCACCUCUGUGUUCCCAAAAUUGAGUACCA
rnacentral:piRNA from 1 species